rnacentral:rRNA from 1 species
CCUACGGGAGGCAGCAGUGGGGAAUCUUGCACAAUGGAGGAAACUCUGAUGCAGCGAUGCCGCGUGAGUGAAGAAGGCCUUUGGGUUGUAAAGCUCUUUUGUAGGGGAAGAUAAUGACUGUACCCUAAGAAUAAGGUCCGGCUAACUUCGUGCCAGCAGCCGCGGUAAUACGAAGGGACCUAGCGUAGUUCGGAAUUACUGGGCGUAAAGCGCGCGUAGGCCGUUGAGUUAGUUAAUUGUGAAAUCCCAAAGCUUAACUUUGGAACUGCAAUUAAAACUGCUCGACUAGAGUUUGAUAGAGGAAAGCGGAAUACAUAGUGUAGAGGUGAAAUUCGUAGAUAUUAUGUAGAACACCAGUUGCGAAGGCGGCUUUCUGGAUCAACACUGACGCUGAGGCGCGAAAAGUAUGGGUAGCAAAAGAGGAUUAGAUACCCUCGUAGUCCAUACCAUAAACGAUGAUUGCUAGAUGUUGGAAAUUUAUUUUACAGUAUCGCAGCUAACGCAUUAAAGCAAAUCCGCCUGGGGAGUACGACCGCAAGGUUAAAACUUAAAGGAAAUUGACGG